rnacentral:rRNA from 1 species
UGAGGAAUAUUGGUCAAUGGACGCAAGUCUGAACCAGCCAAGUAGCGUGCAGGAUGACGGCCCUAUGGGUUGUAAACUGCUUUUAUAUGGGGAUAAAGUGGGGAACGUGUUCCCUUUUGCAGGUACCAUAUGAAUAAGGACCGGCUAAUUCCGUGCCAGCAGCCGCGGUAAUACGGAAGGUUCGGGCGUUAUCCGGAUUUAUUGGGUUUAAAGGGAGCGUAGGCCGUUUGGUAAGCGUGUUGUGAAAUGUAGGAGCUCAACUUCUAGAUUGCAGCGCGAACUGUCAGACUAGAGUGCGCACAACGUAGGCGGAAUUCAUGGUGUAGCGAUAACAUGCUUUGAUAUCAUGAAGAUCUCCGAUUGCAAAGGCAGCUUACGGGAGCGCAACUGACGCUGAAGCUCGAAGGUGCGGGUAUCGAACCGG